AAGUCUGACGGAGCAACGCCGCGUGAGUGAUGAAGGUUUUCGGAUCGUAAAGCUCUGUUGUUAGGGAAGAACAAGUGCAAGAGUAACUGCUUGCACCUUGACGGUACCUAACCAGAAAGCCACGGCUAACUACGUGCCAGCAGCCGCGGUAAUACGUAGGUGGCAAGCGUUGUCCGGAAUUAUUGGGCGUAAAGGGCUCGCAGGCGGUUUCUUAAGUCUGAUGUGAAAGCCCCCGGCUCAACCGGGGAGGGUCAUUGGAAACUGGGAAACUUGAGUGCAGAAGAGGAGAGUGGAAUUCCACGUGUAGCGGUGAAAUGCGUAGAGAUGUGGAGGAACACCAGUGGCGAAGGCGACUCUCUGGUCUGUAACUGACGCUGAGGAGCGAAAGCGUGGGGAGCGAACAGGAUUAGAUACCCUGGUAGUCCACGCCGUAAACGAUGAGUGCUAAGUGUUAGGGGGUUUCCGCCCCUUAGUGCUGCAGCUAACGCAUUAAGCACUCCGCCUGGGGAGUACGGUCGCAAGACUGAAACUCAAAGGAA
rnacentral:rRNA from 1 species